rnacentral:lncRNA from 1 species
GUUGGUUCAUCUCCUGGAGCUUUUGAUCCAGGAGGUCCUCUCGACUGUGAGUCCCAAGGAUCUUCUGGCAAAAUGGAGGUAGGGAUCCUCCAGGGGUGGAAUCAUGAUCAGACUGAGGGCUCUCCACCCUUGGAUUUCUCUUUUCGGGGAAGACAGGGCGACUGGCCCAAGUGGCCUGCCCUACCAUCGAGUUUUGGAACUCCGACGAUGCUCUUUCCAACU